UACGUAGGGGGCAAGCGUUGUCCGGAAUCAUUGGGCGUAAAGAGCUUGUAGGCGGUUUGUCGCGUCUGCUGUGAAAUUUCGGGGCUCAACCCCCGAACUUGCAGUGGGUACGGGCAGACUAGAGUGUGGUAGGGGAGACUGGAAUUCCUGGUGUAGCGGUGAAAUGCGCAGAUAUCAGGAAGAACACCCGUGGCGAAGGCGGCUCACUGGCCCGGUACUGACGCUGAGGUGCGAAAGCGUGGGGAGCAAACAGG
rnacentral:rRNA from 1 species